GACAGAGGGGGGCAAGCGUUGCUCGGAAUUACUGGGCGUAAAGGGCGCGUAGGCGGGAUGGCAAGUCGGUCGUGAAAUCCUUCGGCUCAACCGAAGAACGUCGAUCGAUACUGCUGUUCUUGAGGGUUGCAGAGGAGACUGGAAUUCCCGGUGUAGCGGUGAAAUGUGUAGAGAUCGGGGAGGAACGACCGGUGGCGAAGGCGGGUCUCUGGGCAAUU
rnacentral:rRNA from 1 species